rnacentral:rRNA from 1 species
ACUUGCAAGGUUUGUCUGGCUAAGGAGGAGGAUCUUAUGCAUGCCCUAAUUCAAUGCUCGCAUGCACGCCGCUUCUGGGAUGAGACGUGUGCGUGGUUUGGUCUUCGGCUACCUCGCUUACACCCACGUUCAUGGGCCAAAGACAUCCUAUGUGGAGACCGAGUCAAGGAUGAAGAUCGAGCAAAGAUUAUCACCAUCAUGUGGACGAUUUGGCAUUCUCGAAAUUGGAUCAAACAUGGGGAAGAAGGAAGGGAUCCAAAAGCUGCCAUCAGGGCGACGAGAGAGGCUCUUGCACUGCUGGAACUGCCUCGGUCAGUUCCCAUGUUGUUACCAGGACAUGGCUGGCGGCCGCCCGAGCCAGGGAUGGUGAAGAUCAUGACGGAUGGUGCACUUAACGUCGCGGAAGGAAGAGGAGGGACGGAUGGUAUAGCUCGUUCCGCGUCUGCGAUGUUGGGAGCAUGGUGCAAGCCGUUCGUUCAGAUCUCAGAUCCUUUUUUAAUGGAAGCUAUAUCAAUGCGGGAAGGAGUUCUAUUUGCAAAGCUUCGAGGCCUCUCGCAUGUGAUAUUGGAGACAGAUUGCCAGGAGUUGGUACAACUCUGGAACACUCGCCACAAUUCGCGUCGAUUGUGGCUCCUAUCUUAG